CUGAUUUUUUUUCUAUCUUCAGAUUUGUGGUAACUGGUUACUUUCCCGUUCUUUGUGUAUAUUUCUGGGGGUAACUGGUUACCUUCACGUUCUUUGUAUGUAUAUUUAUGGGCUCUUUAUGGUAACUGGUUACCUAUGUUACUAAAUCAUAAUUACUUCUUAUUUCUUUUUUAAUGAAGUGUUCUUCCUCUUUUUCCUUUAAAUUUGAUGUUUAUUUUCAUAUUUAAUAUGAGUAACUCGUCACCCUUCUUAUGGUAACUUGUUACCCUUCUUAUGGCAGAAAGUUACUUAUCUCAGGAUAACUGGUUACCCCUCCUGGUACAUAUUAUUUAACCUAGCUCUAUGAUUUUUUUACAUAAUUGUCAAAGAUCAAUCAAGUAACUGGUUACCUUAUCCAAAUUUUGAAAAAAGAAACGUACAAUUUAAAAAAAGGAAAAAAAUGUUUAUAAUAAAUAAAAAAUAAAUUUAAACACAAUUCGUAUUAAAAAAAAAUUGCAAAACAACCAAAAAAAAUUUAAUAUAAAAAAAUAAAUAAGCUAAAAAAAUAAUAAUCAAAUUACAAACACAAAAAUAUGGGAGAAUUUAAAAGUGAAAUCUUAAAAAAAGUCAUAAAUUAACUUUUUUUUUUUUUGUUGAAAAAAACUAUAUCUUGGCAAACUCUAUUAAAAAUCCCAUAUGCAUAUGAAAUGUAAUUUUCUCUCUCUCUCUCUCUCUCUCUCUCUUUUUUAUUUAUUUUUUAUUUAUUUUUUAUUUGGAGGGAUCUACGCAAGUUUUCCUUCUCUCCUCUCCUUUCACCCCCUUGCACUAUGUUGUAUGCCAAUUUCCUCUUGUUGCCGAUACUCUCACAUGUACGCUAAUUCAAUCUAAAAUCUUAUUCAGCUGAAGCUAUAUCAGCUAAUGAGCUUAAUGAAGAUGAAGAUGACGAAGAAGGUAGUUGAGUAACAACAGCUGAUAUGGUUAUUAGUGAGAAUACUGGUCCAAAUUAUUGGUCUGCGAGCAGGCAAAGUUGAAAGCAAUGCAUAAUCAUAUUGCUCUCAUCAUAGCAAAGCAACAAAGAGACGCUUGGAUGGUGUGAUGAUACAGAGCAAAGUGUAGUAAAACAUUACUAGGUGUUGAUAGUGUUAACAGUUAACACUUGAAAGGAUAGAUGUUGAUACUCCUUUCUAUAAUUGUAAACAAUUUUUUUUAAUUGAAAGGUGCUUUGCUUCUGUUUUGUUUGUGUGAUUGUGUUUAUCCAAUUAUAGGCAAGAGCCAAUGAUUUAUAUAUAGUUUGCUUUUUUAUUUUUAA